rfam:Toxocara canis scaffold1503, whole genome shotgun sequence.
GCAUUCUUAGCUCAGUCGGUAGAGCAUCAUACUUCUAAUCUGAGGGUGGUGGGUUCGAGUCCGUCAGAAGGCG